ACUCACUAUACACAGGAAAAAAAAAAAAAUCUAGUUGCCAAGCAGUUACAUAAGUAUGUACUGGAAGUAGCUGUGGUGAGAAUAUUAAGGAAGAGAUAGAAAACAAUAGUAACAAGUUUGACAAGAAAUGUACUCACUUCCUUACUCCUCUGUAUAUCACCUUGACAAUACAAUUAAAUUUAAAGGAAAGAAAAAAGAAAAAAAUAGCUAAAUAAAAAUUUAAAACCAUACUAUAGGAAGCAGAGGCUAGUAUUUCAGGUUAAAACAUACAUUUUUGACAGCUUUAUAAACUAGACAGGAAAUUAAACAUGACCUUCAUAUUUGGGCUAUUCC